rnacentral:misc_RNA from 1 species
GUGUGCCCGGCAUGGGCGCUGACUUGGCGGUGAAAGUCCGCUACGGGCGAGGCAGCACCAGCCCGUUAGCCAAAGGCAAGGGUGUCCGUCGUGAGGCGGAAUCUGAAGGAAGCCCGAGGCAAAGCCACGACCCGAGGAACACGAACCCCAUAGGAGGCUGUGCCGCUCGGGUGAGCUGGCCGAACACAGCAAAACCCGAAGCUGCCAAAGGGCGGUGCGGUAGAUGGGGCGGGUGCGGGGUGAAGGUCAGCGUUCUUACCCGGGGAGAUCUGCCGGGAACGCCAGCAACGCUGGUAACCUGCGUCGGGAGACGCAGCUGAACCGGCAGAAGUCAGCAAAGGCCAUAGUACCGGCAGGGGGACGCCCCAACCGGGAAGGGCCGAACGUCAGGAAAGGGGUGAACCCGUUGCGUUCGAGCAGCCCGCGACAAACGCAGAAGACCCCGAACGGGACCUGCUCGCCGGAGGUAGCGGUGAAGCCGCAAGGGACGGCGAGAGGGUGGAGUGGGCAGCCGGCACAAGACGGAACGUCACCCCGCGGGGAGCACAGCAACCUGAUGGAGCAGGUGGUGGCCAGGGAGAACAUGCUGGCCGCCCUGAAACGGGUGGAGCGGAACGGAGGCGCCCCCGGCGUGGACGGUGUCCCCACCGAACGGCUGCGGGACCAGAUUCGCGUGGAGUGGAGCCGCAUCCGUGAGGAACUGCUCCAGGGGACCUACAGACCGCAGCCAGUCCGCCGGGUCGAAAUCCCGAAACCGGGCGGCGGCAAGCGGAUGCUGGGGAUUCCCACCGUGAUGGACCGCCUGAUCCAGCAGGCACUCCUGCAAGUACUGACGCCGAUCUUUGACCCGACAUUCUCCGAAUCCAGCUACGGCUUUCGGCCGGGGCGGCGGGGUCAUGAUGCGGUCAGGAAGGCACGUCAGUACGUGGAGGAAGGGUACGACUGGGUCGUGGACAUGGACCUGGAGAAGUUCUUCGACCGGGUCAACCACGACGUGCUGAUGGCCCGCGUGGCGCGGCGGGUAACGGAUAAGCGUGUGCUGCGGCUGAUCCGGCGGUACUUACAGGCCGGGGUCAUGCUGAACGGGGUAGUCGUGGCGACGGAGGAAGGGACGCCGCAGGGCGGUCCGCUGAGUCCGCUGCUGGCGAACAUCCUGCUGGAUGACCUCGACAAGGAGCUGGAGCGCCGUGGCCACCACUUUGUCCGGUACGCCGAUGACUGCAACAUCUACGUCCGCAGCAAGCGGGCGGGAGAACGGGUCUACAGGAGCGUGCGCCACUUCCUGCAGGAGCGGUUACGGCUGAAGGUCAACGAGGAGAAGAGCGCAGUAGACCGGCCGUGGAAGCGGCAGUUCCUCGGGUUUAGCUUCUACAAGCACCGGGGAGUGCGCAUCCGGCUGGCCCCGAAGAGCCUGAAACGCGUGAAGGACAAGCUCCGCACGCUGACGGACCGCAACCGCAGCCAACCGAAUCCGGUGCCUGAAUGCCUACUUGCGGGGCUGGGUUGGGUACUAUGCGCUCUCCGAUGCCAGGUCAGCCUUUGAAAGACUCGAAGGAUGGCUGAAGCGUCGGCUGCGAGCAUGCGUAUGGAGGCAGUGGAAGCGUGUACGCACGCGCUUUCGGGAGUUACGCGCCCUCGGUUUGCCCGAAUGGGUAGUCUACCAACUCGCCAACAGCCGCAAAGGCCCGUGGCGGAUGGCAGGUGGCCCACUAAACAGCGCCCUGGGCGACGCCUACUGGCGUGCCCAGGGGCUGAUAAGCCUGACCGAAUGCUAUGAAGCGACUCGUCAAUCCUGGCGAACCGCCGGAUGCGGACCCGCAUGUCCGGUGGUGUGAGAGGACGGGGGCUAGCCGCCCCCUCCUACUCGAUCGG